UGGGGAAUAUUGCACAAUGGGCGAAAGCCUGAUGCAGCCAUGCCGCGUGUGUGAAGAAGGCCUUAGGGUUGUAAAGCACUUUCAGCGAGGAGGAAAGGAUUAAAGUUAAUACCUUUAGUCUGUGACGUUACUCGCAGAAGAAGCACCGGCUAACUCCGUGCCAGCAGCCGCGGUAAUACGGAGGGUGCGAGCGUUAAUCGGAAUUACUGGGCGUAAAGCGUGCGUAGGCGGCUACUUAAGUUGGAUGUGAAGGCCCCGGGCUCAACCUGGGAACUGCAUCCAAAACUGAGUGGCUAGAGUGCGAGAGAGGAGUGUGGAAUUUCCUGUGUAGCGGUGAAAUGCGUAGAUAUAGGAAGGAACACCAGUGGCGAAGGCGACACUCUGGCUUGACACUGACGCUGAGGUACGAAAGCGUGGGGAGCAAACAGGAUUAGAUACCCUGGUAGUCCACGCCGUAAACGAUGUCUACUAGUUGUCCGUUGUCUUGUACGAUGGGUAACGCAGCUAACGCGAUAAGUAGACCGCCUGGGGAGUACGGCCGCAAGGUUA
rnacentral:rRNA from 1 species